UCUCACUAGAAGUGGCCGUUAGAUAUUCAUCUGUCCACAGUUAGACAAACUGUCUAUAAAUGGAGAUGAUUUAGUACUAUAGGUACUCUCACUAGAAGUGGCCGUUAGAUAUUCAUCUGUCCACAGUUAGACAAACUGUCUAUAAAUGGAGAUGAUUUAGUACUAUAGGUACUCUCACUAGAAGUGGCCGUUAGAUAUUCAUCUGUCCACAGUUAGACAAACUGUCUAUAAAUGGAGAUGAUUUAGUACUAUAGGUACUCUCACUAGAAGUGGCCGUUAGAUAUUCAUCUG